CUAAAUAUUAUUUUUCAAUUACUAUAUUAUGUUUUUUUCAGUUGGGUUUCUUAUCCUUUCUUCGAAGCAAUGUGACCACAUAGUAAACUGUUUUUGAGGAGUGUUUGCUGUUUGAGGUUACAAGAUGAAACCACAGAGUUCCUUAUCUUGUCUUUCUGCAUCUGUUUUUACAUGAGCUAGCAAAGCAAAAGAGCAAAGCAGUAACAACUGAAAACUCCUUUUUCCCCUCUCCCCACCCAUAUUUUUGAAGCCACUGGAGAAGUGCCCUGUAGGAUCCAGCAGCUGGCUCUCUCUGUUUUUUCUGUCUGCAGACCAGAAAUUAUUCCAGCUUUCCAUGUGGACAGUCACAGCUGAGGAAGGGUUGGUUGUCUCCGAUGGACACGGCAGCUGGAGGAGGUGUCUGCUGCCCAGGAUACCUGGUAGCAGAAGGGAAGCAGCAUGCACAAGGUCUCACCAGUGGGAAAAGAUGGGCACUCUUCCUCAUCUGCAACUUGCAAAUUAUUUUACCACAAAUGAGCUACUUUCUCAUGAUGGCUUGAGCCACAUCCAGUGUGUAUUACCACAUACACAUCACUGAAAAGCCACCCCCACCCAAUGCAGCUGAAGAAUCAAAAUUCAAGAUGGCUUGAGAACCUGGUUUAGCUCAGCAAUAAGGUUUUUGAGAACUGUUUUCCCUUUCCUCAGCCGAUUGUUACGCUGUACCCAGAUUCCUGUUGUGCAACAGUUUGGAGGCCUCUGGGCCAUGUCCUACCCAAACCCUCUUGCUUCUUGGCGCAGCACAACUCUCCUGGGGGCAUCUCAAUGGACAAUCACCCCCUGGGAUUCAGUUUCAAGGAAAAUAAUCAGAGUUUGGCUGAUUUUCCCUUUUGAACUGCUGCCCUUUUCCGAUGUAUUUACAAUGUAAGGAAGUCAGUUUAUUCAUGGUUUGGCUUUUAACUUUGUUGUUGAGCUUGGCUUUGCUCCUGUUGGAAAUUGGACCCCAGUUGAGGAGGGCAGUUGCCAGUGUCUACUGGAAACUCCUUGCCUGGGAUUCUCAAGCAGGCCGUUUGUUGACCUAGCUCAGCACAUACUAAAUAAAUGCAGUCAGAAGAGUCUGCUUACUCA
rnacentral:lncRNA from 1 species